rnacentral:rRNA from 1 species
AGCUAAUACCGGAUAGUUCCUUGAACCGCAUGGUUCAAGGAUGAAAGACGGUUUCGGCUGUCACUUACAGAUGGACCCGCGGCGCAUUAGCUAGUUGGUGGGGUAAUGGCUCACCAAGGCGACGAUGCGUAGCCGACCUGAGAGGGUGAUCGGCCACACUGGGACUGAGACACGGCCCAGACUCCUACGGGAGGCAGCAGUAGGGAAUCUUCCGCAAUGGACGAAAGUCUGACGGAGCAACGCCGCGUGAGUGAUGAAGGUUUUCGGAUCGUAAAGCUCUGUUGUUAGGGAAGAACAAGUGCGAGAGUAACUGCUCGCACCUUGACGGUACCUAACCAGAAAGCCACGGCUAACUA